AACGACUCUCGGCAACGGAUAUCUCGGCUCUCGCAUCGAUGAAGAACGUAGCGAAAUGCGAUACUUGGUGUGAAUUGCAGAAUCCCGUGAACCAUCGAGUCUUUGAAGCAAGUUGCGCCCCAAGCCUUCUGGCCGAGGGCACGUCUGCCUGGGUGUCACA
rnacentral:rRNA from 1 species